rnacentral:rRNA from 1 species
GCUAAGAAUAUUCCGCAAUGGACGAAAGUCUGACGGAGCGACGCCGCGUGGAUGACGAAGGCCGAAAGGUUGUAAAGUCCUUUUGUCGAUGAAGAAUAAGGGUAGGAGGGAAUGCCUGCCUGAUGACGUUAGUCGGCGAAUAAGCCCCGGCUAAUUACGUGCCAGCAGCCGCGGUAACACGUAAGGGGCAAGCGUUGUUCGGAAUUAUUGGGCGUAAAGGGUACGUAGGCGGUUUGGUAAGCCCGGCGUGAAAUCCUGCAGCUUAACUGUAGAGCUGCGCUGGGAACUGCGAAACUUGAGUCAUGGAAGGGGAGUUAGAAUUCCAGGUGUAGGGGUGAAAUCUGUAGAUAUCUGGAAGAAUACCGGUGGCGAAGGCGAACUCCUGGCCAAUGACUGACGCUGAGGUACGAAAGUGCGGGGAGCAAACAGGAUUAGAAACCCGAGUAGUCC